rnacentral:rRNA from 1 species
UGCCUAAUACAUGCAAGUCGAACGAGAAAGCCCGCAAGGGUGAGUACAGUGGCGCACGGGUGAGUAAUGCAUAGGAAUCUGCCUUUUAGUGGAGAAUACCUUCGAGAAAUCGAAGUUAAUACUGCAUAAGCCGGAAACGGGAAAGAUGGCCUCGUGCUAUCGCUAAGAGAUGAGCCUAUGUCCUAUUAAUUAGUUGGUGAGGUAAAGGCUUACCAAGACGAAGAUGGGUAGCCGGCCUGAGAGGGUGAUCGGCCACACUGGAACUGAGACACGGUCCAGACUCCUACGGGAGGCAGCAGUGGGGAAUAUUGCACAAUGGGCGCAAGCCUGAUGCAGCGACGCCGCGUGGAGGAUGAAGGUUUUCGGAUUGUAAACUCCUGUUAAGUGGGAAAAAAGACUUGUACCUAAUACGUACGGGGGAUGAUGGUACCACUAGAGAAAGCACCGGCAAACUUCGUGCCAGCAGCCGCGGUAAUACGAAGGGUGCGAGCGUUAUUCGGAAUCACUGGGUGUAAAGAGCGUGUAGGCGGUUUCUUAAGUCAUUCGUUAAAGAGCUCGGCUUAACUGAGCAUAUGCGGGCGAAACUGGGAAACUAGAGUACAGAAGAGAAGAGUGGAAUUCUCGGAGUAGCGGUAAAAUGCGUAGAUCUCGAGAGGAACACCGGUUGCGAAGGCGGCUCUUUGGUCUGUAACUGACGCUAAAGUGCGAAAGCGUGGGGAGCAAACAGGAUUAGAUACCCUGGUAGUCCACGCCGUAAACGAUGAUCACUAGAUGUGGGCUUUGCUUAGCAGAGUCUGUGUCGUAGCUAACGCGUUAAGUGAUCCACCUGGGAAAUACGGUCGCAAGAUUAAAACUCAAAGAAAUUGACGGGGGUCCGCACAAGCGGUGGAACAUGUGGUUUAAUUCGACACUACGCGAGGAACCUUACCUGGGUUUGACAUGUAAUCGCUACUGGUGGAAACAUUGGGUUCUGUAGAAAUACAGACGGUUACACAGGUGCUGCAUGGCUGUCGUCAGCUCGUGUCGUGAGACGUCGGGUUAAGUCCUUGAACGAGCGCAACCCUUGCCGUUAGUUGCUUGCUGAAAGGCGGCACUCUAGCGGGACUGCCUUGGAAACAAGGAGGAAGGUGGGGAUGACGUCAAGUCCUCAUGGCCCUUAUGCCCAGGGCUACACACGUGUUACAAUGGCGAGGAACAGAGGGAAGCAGAGCCGCGAGGUGAAGCAAAUCCCAUAAAAUUCGUCUAAGUUCAGAUUGUAGUCUGCAACUCGACUACAUGAAGUUGAAAUCGCUAGUAAUCGCAUAUCAGAACGAUGCGGUGAAUACGUUCUCGGACCUUGCACACACCGCCCGUCACA